rnacentral:misc_RNA from 1 species
UGACUCCUCGUGCCUUUCUACUCAUCGUCGAGCCCUUAGCCUGCUGCGCGCGUUCGAUGUGGUAUGAUGCGCCUCUGCAUGAGUCCAUUUUUCGCACGUCUCUUUCUUUUCGACACACUUAGUACAGCGUCGAAGCCGGACAGGAUGGAAUACACACAUCAGCAAGGAAACACGCUUGGCAACGAACACGCACACAGACGCAUCGUCGCUUUCAUCUUUUGUUGCCGUUUUAAUCAUCUUGCGUCUUUUUCAUGUUUCGCUGACCUCGCUGCUCUCUGGCGCUUGACGCGCACGCAUGCCUCACCCCGACCCUCGUCUACGCACUGAAACCACCGACCUCAGGCGAACACUCCAACCUUCCUCUCUCCACUAACCCUCGCCCGUAGCCGCCACCAUACUUCACAAGAGCGGCUCCGACGAAUUUUCAAGCGCUCAUUGCGUCUGUGUUCGCUCCUGAAGAGAAAGCAGCCCCUCUCCCCUCCCCUCCCGGGGUAUAGAAGCUCGUUCAGUUUUGCAUGUGUGGUGCAGUGCGUAUACAUGCAGCUGCGAGGCGCAUAACACAGAGCGUAAACCUGUGUUCUUCGACCCACACACCGGCAUCCUGUCUUUUGUUGCCCUUCCCUCCCUUUCUUCUUUUGUCACCCUUUCCCUCUUCGAUAAAGUUGCCUCGUCUUUUCACAUGUCACCUCCAAUGCGUGAAGUGGGAACGACAGAAACAAGACGUUGCCGAAGGGGGCGGGAGAGGCGCGGAGGGGCGCAAGAGGACUUUUCACCUCUCUUCUGUUUUCUCCGCCCUCUUUUCGCGUUCGUGAACCACCGCAUCCUGCGGCACCUCUUUGCGAGUGCUUCCGCACCUCUUACGCUUUUUGGUUCUGUUGCGCUUCACCAUCUCUACGGGGCUGCACAUCUUCGCCAUCUCCCUUACCUCCACAUUCCGUCGUCCUAUAAUCUGUACAUGUUCAUCUAUAUAUAUAUAUAUACCUUUUCGCUUUUCCUUUGCCCUCUACCAUUUCGCCGAUCGCUGCCCUCGCACUGUCUCUCUGUUUCUCCUCUGACUCUCGCGGACGCUGCCUUCUUUCCUCAUCUCCCUCCCCCAAGAUCACCGUUUCGCUCCCCUUUCUGUCUUCCCUCCUACCAUGAAGUGGGCAACUGCGCUGUACUGAAGAAUCAGAUGGUCACGCUUAGCAGCGCGUCCCCUUUUACAGUGGUUGACGGGGAACUGUCGCCGCCGCUGCGGUUUUUUUUUUUUUGCCCCCCCCCCCCCCCCUGUGGGCCUGCUUGGGUGUUUCGGUUGAUCACUUUUUGUAUUUGGGCCGCAAGUGGCGUAUUCCCGUUAUGGGCGUCGUCUCUAUGCUCUGCGGCGCGCUCCUCGCUUAAAGCGUCUGUGUGGGCAGAGGAACGAGCGGUGUGCGGGCGCCCGCCUCUUGUUGUUUCGUCUCCACUUCUUUCCUACGUGUGCAUUCCUGUUUUCGCUAUGUGCAUCCGCCGACACACCGACUCACCCAUGCACCCCUCCCUCCCUCUGCUCACAUCAGCUGUUUAUCCUGUUUUUGCUGCCCUUUUCGGCUACCAUUUUCGUCCAAUUUGAUGGGUUAGAGAAGUGCCGCGGCCUUAUAAACAAUCAACAGCACUCUCUGUGUGUGUGCAGCCAUCGUCCUCCCCACUCCUCUACAGCGCUGCCUCCCUCUUCCCCAUCCGCUCUGCCUCCCAUUUACGCACGAAGCAUCUGCUGCGCUGCUCUUUUCUGUUGCCUCGCGUUCUUCAGACACUUCUCUUUUUUUUUCUGUUGGCUUUUCGUCGUCGUUUGUCACUCGUCUUUCUCUCGUCAAUGCCCCUCCCCCCUUGCUUCUGGCCCUCUUUGCGUGUGUGUAUGCCUAGGGCACAGGCUCUGCAUGGGCUUCUCCAUACUCCCGACUACGACCCACCCCUCACGCUGCGCUCGCCAGCGUCAGUGCCCCUACUCCUUUACGUGCCUCAACGGACAACAUCGCCACAGCUCCCGCUACCUCCCUCGCUCUCUCUCUCUCAUUCUCUGCAGUUCCUUUUUCGUUUUUUUUUAAUACUUGCAAUGUGCCCGUCACGUGAUAUGGUCACCAGACGACCGGACUUCGCGUCCCGUGAGCCACGGCGCGGAACGGGGGAGUGGAUGCUGGGUGAACGCGUAGUGCACUGAAGGGCAUCACCUACGGGUAAUAGCGGUUUCUUCCUCUCCGUAUUCUUUGUGCGAGACUGAGCAGCGAAUUUUCUAACCCCCCUGACGACUGGAUUAUGAGGGCAAACAAAUUGGCAUAAUCCCCGCGUGAAGAGGUACGUGGCAUGCGGUGAAAGCGAUGGCUCUGCUGUACUGCUACUGUCUCCUCUCUGUCCACAAGACCGCAAGACUCGCUCUGCUUCCCUUCGCGAAUUUUUUCUCUCUGUUUUUGCCCUCCCCACCACACCUCCGCCGCCUCGCGUAGGUGGCUAGUCUCUAACUGACCAAUUAGUGAGUUUGACUCCCCAGAACACAAAC